UGGGGAAUAUUGCACAAUGGGCGCAAGCCUGAUGCAGCCAUGCCGCGUGUGUGAAGAAGGCCUUCGGGUUGUAAAGCACUUUCAGCGAGGAGGAAGGUGGUGAACUUAAUACGUUCAUCAAUUGACGUUACUCGCAGAAGAAGCACCGGCUAACUCCGUGCCAGCAGCCGCGGUAAUACGGAGGGUGCAAGCGUUAAUCGGAAUUACUGGGCGUAAAGCGCACGCAGGCGGUUUGUUAAGUCAGAUGUGAAAUCCCCGGGCUCAACCUGGGAACUGCAUUUGAAACUGGCAAGCUAGAGUCUCGUAGAGGGGGGUAGAAUUCCAGGUGUAGCGGUGAAAUGCGUAGAGAUCUGGAGGAAUACCGGUGGCGAAGGCGGCCCCCCUGGACGAAGACUGACGCUCAGGUGCGAAAAGCGUGGGGCAGCAAACAGGAUUAGAUACCCUGGUAGUCCACGCUGUAAACGAUGUCGAUUUGGAGGUUGUGCCCCUGAGGCGUGGNUUCCGGAGCUAACG
rnacentral:rRNA from 1 species